rnacentral:rRNA from 1 species
GCCGGGACCACCCGGUAAGGCUAAAUACUCCCAAGAGACCGAUAGUGAACCAGUACUGUGAAGGAAAGGUGAAAAGAACCCCGAACAGGGGAGUGAAAAAGAACCUGAAACCAUACGCUUACAACCUGUCGGAGCGGCUUUGUGCCGUGACGGCGUGCCUAUUGAAUAAUGAGCCUACGAGUUACUAAUCACUGGCAAGGUUAAGUGCACGGAUGCACGGAGCCGAAGCGAAAGCGAGUCUGAAUAGGGCGUUUAGUCAGUGGUUGUAGACGCGAAACCUUGCGAUCUACCCUUGAGCAGGUUGAAGGUUGGGUAAAACCAACUGGAGGACCGAACGAAUAAGCGUUGAAAAGCUUCUCGAUGACUUGAGGGUAGGGGUGAAAGGCUAAUCAAGCUGGGAAAUAGCUCGUACUCCCCGAAAUGCCUUUAGGGGCAGCGUUGUAAUUAAGAGUCUACUGGAGGUAGAGCUACUGAUUGGAUGCGGGGGCUUCACCGCCUACCAAAUCCUGACAAACUCCGAAUGCCAGUAGUAUGAUUUACAGCAGUGAGCGACCGGGUGCUAAUGUCCGGUUACGAGAGUGGAACAACACAGACCAGCAACUAAGGUCCCCAAGAGUAUACUAAGUUGAUCUAACGAUGUUUUGCUGCAGAGACAGCUAGGAUGUUAGCUUGGAAGCAGCUAUUCAUUCAAAGAGUGCGUAACAGCUCACUAGUCGAGCGGCAAAGCGUGGAUAAUAAACGGGCAUCAAGUAUACCACCGAAGUUCUGGGCACGAAAGUGCGGUAGGGGAGCAUUCCAUUCCGCGUUGAAGCCGAACCGUGAGGUUUGGUGGAGUGUAUGGAAAAGCAAAUGUAGGCAUGAGUAACGAUAAUGCGGGAGAGUAACCCGCACACCGCAAGACCAAGGUUUCCUGAUCAACGCUAAUCGGAUCAGGGUUAGUCGGGUCCUAAGGGUAAGCCGAACGGUGAUCUCGAUGGAUAAUCGGUUAAUAUUCCGAUACUGACAUAUACCUCGAUGGAGAGACGAAGGAACGUAAGUGCCGCCACCUGACGGAAUAGGUGGUUAAAGGGCUUAGGUAUAGGGGCAGAUUAAGAGUUAGUCCUUGCUGAAACCUGACAGUACAGAGAGCCUACGGGCAAUUUGAUAGUGCACCCAAGUCGACUUCCGAGAAAAUCUUCUAAGUUAUAGUAUAUGUCACCCGUACCGUAAACCGACACAGGUGGUCGAGGAGAGUAUCCUAAGGUGCUCGAGUGAAUCACGGUUAAGGAACUAGGCAAAUUAACCCCGUAACUUCGGGAAAAGGGGUCCCAUCGCGAGGUGGGCGCAGCGAAGAGGUCCAGGCGACUGUUUAUCAAAAACACAGGGCUCUGCAAAUUCGAAAGAAGACGUAUAGGGCCUGACACCUGCCCGGUGCUGGAAGGUUAAGAGGGGAUGUCAUCGCAAGAGAAGCAUUGAAUCGAAGCCCCAGUAAACGGCGGCCGUAACUAUAACGGUCCUAAGGUAGCGAAAUUCCUUGUCGGGUAAGUUCCGACCUGCACGAAUGGUGUAACGAUCUGGACACUGUCUCAACCGUGAGCUCGGUGAAAUUGUAGUCCCGGUGA